AUUCUACUCCCUCUGUUGCACAAUACAUGCCUUCUAUUUGUCAAAAUAUAUAUGUAUCUAGACAUGUCUUAGUAUAUAGGUACAUCCACUUUUGGACAAAUGGAAGUCAAGUAUUUUGGAACCGAGGGAGUACACA
rnacentral:pre_miRNA from 1 species